rnacentral:misc_RNA from 1 species
AAGUCGUAACAAGGUUUCCGUAGGUGAACCUGCGGAAGGAUCAUUAAAAUAUAUUGACUACACUGUUUUUGAAGCAAAUACUAAUAACCAUUAUUUUUCAACAACCUAAAAAAAUCAAAACUUUCAACAACGGAUCUCUUGGUUCUC